GCCACUUUAAUCUGAUGGGUUAAGUAGGCAUAAAGUAUAAUCAAAUAUGGAAUCUUAAUAGGUAAUUUCUAUCCAGUUUAAAAUUUUAAAUAAUGUAUGAAAAUAUAAUUUAGUUAAUUUUUUAAUCUAGGUUAAUUAGGUGCCAGCAACCGCGGUCAUACCUAGUAGACCAGCCUACACCCGUAGUAUUUAUUUGUUCCCGUUUCGAAAUAUCUUAAUAAAUAGUGAAAUAUUAUUAUACUACUAUAUCACCAAAACUAUUCAAUAGUAAACCCAUAUAUUAAACUAGGAUUAGAGACCCUACUAUUAUGGGCCCAAAAAUUUAUUUACUAAGGAGUAAUUCUUCAAUUUAAAACUUAAAUAUUAUGGCGGCUAAACAAAAUAAUUAGGGGAACUUACCAUUUAAUUGAUAGCCACCAAGCAUAAACUCACUUACUAUAAAAAUUUGUAUACCGUUGUCUUCAUGAAUCCCUCAAAGGGGCUCACGAUCAUUCUAAUAAAAUGUUUAGACAAAUCAAGGUGCAGUCUAUAAGUAAGGAAUAAGGCGAGUUACAAUAAAAAUUUAUUUCGGAAAUGGAGUAUGAAAUAUUACAGGAAGAUGGACUUAAAAGUAUUCUACAAAUGACAAACAUAAUACAAGAAUAUAUAUUGCUUAGUGUA
rnacentral:rRNA from 1 species